rnacentral:lncRNA from 1 species
GAACAACGCAGAGGCUUCACUCUGGAUGACAAACGAGGAGGGGAGAGGCCUGCCCUGCCUGGACUCCGGGCCCCAGCCACGACUGUGGGAGCAAGACGAUACCUAGAGCAAGUCCCUACACCCCCUUUAAUUCCUCAGAGGGGCCUUCCCCGUGGUCCAUGCCCAGAUGUGGGAAUUCGGACUCAUCUUGGUAAGCCAUCAACCUCCCCAUGCCUCAGUUUGUUCAUCUGCAAAAUGGGAAUACCUUUAGGCUUAGCAGGGGCCAGUGCACAUAAGCACUUAAUAAAGCCCAAGAGGCCUGGUUCAGAUGGGCCAGCUUCUGCUCUGAGGACCUCCCUACCCGGUGUACAUAUGUGCAUAAGCACAGUGUGUGUGCACCUGACGUGGGGAGCAGGGAAGAUCUGGGAGACGUUCAGACACAAUGAGGCUCAGAGGAGAUGCUCAGACACAAGGAUGAAGUGAGGAGGAGCCACCAACCCCAGGCCUAGGAGCUCGUGUGCCACGGAUCAGAGGGAUUCCACAGGUGGGCAGAGCUGCCCGGAGCUGUGGCUUGAGCAGGGAGGGUGACUGAGGAAACAGGUGCUGCCUUGGGAAAAGAG